UGUUACACAGUCUUGUGUGGAGCAGCACAAACUGUACAACAGUACAGUAGAAGAGCAAGAUCACAGACACAGCUGAGCCGACAUCCUUGGUGAUCUACAAGAGACUGUCCAUCAAUGGCUCACCCAUUAAACACACAGGUCAACGGAGCACAGCAGAGUAGGCGAAAAGAAAUCAGAGAUCAAGCCACAUUGAAGAAGGUGAAACAGCACCUCAUCAGCCAACAAAACAGUAUGAGAUGGUGGAAGCUUCAGAGAAGAAAGAAAACUAUGAUGGAAAAUAGGGAGUGCAAAUGAAGGCGUAUUGAGAGAGCCAGGCAGACUAUUUCCUAGCUGUCAGUCUAGGUUAACGCAACGUUGACUGAUAAAAAAGGAAAGCCUUAAUCAUUCGGGGGAUCUAUCCCAUUAGUGGAUUUAAUAAUACCGACCUCAUACAUUUUAAUGGGACAAAUGAAUCCAGGCUUCAGUAAUUGAUUAACCUUGUCAAGUUAAGAUAAUUUCAUCUUCGGCUAUAGCUUUUAUUUGCGCUGCGAUGGAUGUCUAAUUAAAGUUAGUAGUUACAGUAA